rnacentral:tRNA from 3 species
CGCUAAGAAGCUAAACUGGACCUCAGCGUCAGCCUUUUAAGCUGAAGAUUGGUGCCUUCCAACCACCCCUAGCGA